rnacentral:rRNA from 1 species
UACGGAGGAUGCAAGCGUUAUCCGGAAUGAUUGGGCGUAAAGCGUCCGCAGGUGGCAGUUCAAGUCUGCUGUCAAAGACCGGGGCUUAACUUCGGAAAGGCAGUGGAAACUGAACAGCUAGAGUAUGGUAGGGGCAGAGGGAAUUCCUGGUGUAGCGGUGAAAUGCGUAGAGAUCAGGAAGAACAUCGGUGGCGAAGGCGACUCUGCUGGACCAUAACUGACACUCAGGGACGAAAGCUAGGGGAGCGAAUGGG